CGCGUGGGAACGUGCCCUUUGCUACGGAAUAGUCCCGGGAAACUGGGUUUAAUACCGUAUGUGCCCUUCGGGGGAAAGAUUUAUCGGCAAAGGAUCGGCCCGCGUUGGAUUAGGUAGUUGGUGGGGUAAUGGCCUACCAAGCCGACGAUCCAUAGCUGGUUUGAGAGGAUGAUCAGCCACACUGGGACUGAGACACGGCCCAGACUCCUACGGGAGGCAGCAGUGGGGAAUCUUAGACAAUGGGGGCAACCCUGAUCUAGCCAUGCCGCGUGAGUGAUGAAGGCCUUAGGGUUGUAAAGCUCUUUCAGCUGGGAAGAUAAUGACGGUACCAGCAGAAGAAGCCCCGGCUAACUCCGUGCCAGCAGCCGCGGUAAUACGGAGGGGGCUAGCGUUGUUCGGAAUUACUGGGCGUAAAGCGCACGUAGGCGGACUGGAAAGUUGGGGGUGAAAUCCCGGGGCUCAACCUCGGAACUGCCUUCAAAACUAUCAGUCUGGAGUUCGAGAGAGGUGAGUGGAAUACCGAGUGUAGAGGUGAAAUUCGUAGAUAUUCGGUGGAACACCAGUGGCGAAGGCGGCUCACUGGCUCGAUACUGACGCUGAGGUGCGAAAGCGUGGGGAGCAACAGGAUUAGAUACCCUGGUAG
rnacentral:rRNA from 1 species